rnacentral:rRNA from 1 species
GUCGAGGGGUAGAAGAAGCUUGCUUCUUUGAGACCGGCGCACGGGUGCGUAACGCGUAUGCAAUCUACCUUGUUCAAAGGGAUAGCCCAGAGAAAUUUGGAUUAAUACCUUAUAGUAUUAUAAAAUGGCAUCAUUUAAUAAUUAAAGAUUUAUCGGAACAAGAUGAGCAUGCGUCCCAUUAGCUAGUUGGUGUGGUAACGGCAUACCAAGGCAAUGAUGGGUAGGGGUCCUGAGAGGGAGAUCCCCCACACUGGUACUGAGACACGGACCAGACUCCUACGGGAGGCAGCAGUGAGGAAUAUUGGACAAUGGGCGCAAGCCUGAUCCAGCCAUGCCGCGUGCAGGAAGACGGUCCUAUGGAUUGUAAACUGCUUUUAUACAGGAAGAAACACUCCUACGUGUAGGAACUUGACGGUACUGUAAGAAUAAGAAUCGGCUAACUCCGUGCCAGCAGCCGCGGUAAU